rnacentral:tRNA from 1 species
UCCCUGGUGGCUCAGACGGUAAAGCAUCUGUCUACAAUUCAGGAGACCCAGGUUUGAUCCCUGGGUCGGGAA